rnacentral:rRNA from 1 species
AGAGUUUGAUCAUGGCUCAGAACGAACGCUGGCGGCAGGCUUAACACAUGCAAGUCGAACGCAUCCUUCGGGGUGAGUGGCAGACGGGUGAGUAACGCGUGGGAACGUGCCCUUCAGUUCGGAAUAACCCAGGGAAACUUGGGCUAAUACCGGAUACGUGCGAGAGCAGAAAGAUUUAUCGCUGAAGGAUCGGCCCGCGUCUGAUUAGCUAGUUGGUAGGGUAAUGGCCUACCAAGGCGACGAUCAGUAGCUGGUCUGAGAGGAUGAUCAGCCACAUUGGGACUGAGACACGGCCCAAACUCCUACGGGAGGCAGCAGUGGGGAAUAUUGGACAACGGGCGCAAGCCUGAUCCAGCCAUGCCGCGUGAGUGAUGAAGGCCUUAGGGUUGUAAAGCUCUUUCGGCGGGGACGAUAAUGACGGUACCCGCAGAAGAAGCCCCGGCUAACUUCGUGCCAGCAGCCGCGGUAAUACGAAGGGGGCUAGCGUUGUUCGGAAUCACUGGGCGUAAAGGGCGCGUAGGCGGCUUUGUAAGUCAGUGUUUAAAGUCAACAGCUCAACUGUUGGAAUGGCAAUGAUACUGCAUAGCUUGAGUAAAGUUGAGGUAGGCGGAAUUGAUGGUGUAGCGGUGAAAUGCAUAGAUAUCAUCAAGAACAUCGAUUGCGAAGGCAGCUUACUAAGCCUUAACUGACGCUGAGGCACGAAAGCGUGGGGAUCAAACAGGAUUAGAUACCCCGGUAGUCC